AUGGACGGCAAUGGGAGAUCGGCGGCGAGCCACAAGAAGCCUCUCGUCGCGGACAACGACCUGGUGGAGCUGCUGUGGCACAACGGGGCGGUCGUCGCGCAGCCGCAGACGCACCCGAGGCCGGCGCCCAGCGGCCUCGCCGGCGGUGGCGGGGAGACGGCCGCGUGGUUCCAGGACGACGUCGACGCGCUGGGGAACGACGUCUACGCACAGCUCUGGAACAGCAUUGCGGUGGGCGCCGCCCCGGAGGUCGCGUGCGCGGCGCUCCCGGGGCCCAGCUCCCACCCUCCCCCGCCGCAGCUGCCGCCGCCGCCGAUGCGGAGCGGCAUCGCCUCCAGCUGGACCGGGGGCGACAUCGGCUCCACCUUCUGCGGCAGCAACCUGGUCCCGGAGGUGCCGGCGGGGGACAGAGAGGAGGCGAGCGCCGCGCCGCCGUCGGAGGGGACGCGCGGGGCGAGCACGCGCGACGGCGGCGCCGGCACCUCGUCGUCCGGCGGGUCCGGGAGCAACUUCGGGGGCUCCGGCCUGCCGAGCGAGAGCGGCGGCCAUGCCCACAAGAGGAAGGGGAGGGGCAAAGACGACUCCGAUAGCCGCAGCGAGAGGAAAUUGCAGGAUGUGGAGUGUGAGGCGACCGAGGAGACCAAAUCGUCGAGGCGGCACGGGUCGAAGCGGAGGAGCAGGGCAGCUGAGGUUCAUAACCAGUCAGAGAGGAGGCGAAGGGACCGGAUCAACGAAAAGAUGCGGUCGUUGCAAGAACUCAUACCCCACUGCAACAAGGCUGACAAAGCAUCAAUAUUAGAUGAGGCGAUCGAGUACUUAAAGUCCCUCCAAAUGCAAGUUCAGAUUAUGUGGAUGACCACCGGGAUGGCGCCAAUGAUGUUUCCUGGUUCUCACCAGUUCAUGCCGCCGAUGGCCGUGGGCAUGAACUCGGCAUGCAUGCCUGCGGCACAGGGUCUAAAUCAGAUGGCAAGAGUGCCAUACAUGAACCAUUCCUUGUCAAAUCACAUCCCUAUGAACCCAUCUCCAGCCAUGAACCCUAUGUACAUUGCAAACCAGAUGCAAAACAUACAGCUGAGAGAAGCAGCAAGUAACCAUUUCCUUCACCUAGAUGGUGGGCAGGCAACGGCACCUCAGGUAGCAGGACCAUAUGCUUAUACACCACAAGUAGCACCAAAAAGCCAGAUACCGGAAGUGCCGGAUUGUACUGUCGCGCCAAUUUCUGGGCCCGGACAACCACCUGCACCUGAUGGAAUUUAG
rnacentral:rRNA from 1 species